rnacentral:rRNA from 1 species
AACUCAAAGGAAUUGACGGGGGCCCGCACAAGCGGAGGAACAUGUGGUUUAAUUCGAUGAUACGCGAGGAACCUUACCCGGGCUCAAACGCAACCGGAAUGUAUCCGAAAGGGUACAGCUCUACGGAGUCUGUUGCGAGGUGCUGCAUGGUUGUCGUCAGCUCGUGCCGUGAGGUGUCGGCUUAAGUGCCAUAACGAGCGCAACCCCUAUCGACAGUUGCUAACGAGUUAAGUCGAGGACUCUGUCGAGACUGCCGGCGCAAGCUGUGAGGAAGGCGGGGAUGACGUCAAAUCAGCACGGCCCUUACGUCCGGGGCGACACACGUGUUACAAUGGCGACUACAGCGGGAAGCCACUUGGCGACAAGGAGCGGAACCCGAAAAGUCGUCUCAGUUCGGAUUGGAGUCUGCAACUCGACUCCAUGAAGCUGGAUUCGCUAGUAAUCGCGCAUCAGCCAUGGCGCGGUGAAUACGUUCCCGG